rnacentral:lncRNA from 1 species
UCCCCCAGAAAAAGUUCUAAAGACUCACCGACUCCAAAUAGAAAGAGUAGCACUUUACUGACAAUUUACUUUUUAAUUAACAUGCAUUGAAAGGUACUAUCAUAGUACAAAUUCGUUUUUUUAAUCUGUGCCGCUAAUUAUUUUCUAUUCUGCAAGCACUACGUGGAACCCAUACACACAGGUAAGAUUUUCCUAGAAAUUGAAGAGAAGUUGACAACAAAGAACAAUGAAGUGGCACGUAGUCAUUUGUUCCUGUUCACAACAAGCACUACGUGGAACCCAUACACACAGGUAAGAUUUUCCUAGAAAUUGAAGAGAAGUUGACAACAAAGAACAAUGAAGUGGCACGUAGUCAUUUGUUCCUGUUCACAACAACAGAAUUGUUGAAAAGAAGAGAUUUAUAGUUCUGAAGAAGUCACGUACCA